rnacentral:rRNA from 1 species
GUCGCUACUACCGAUUGAAUGGCUCAGUGAGGCCUUCGGACCAGCUCAGGGAGGUCGGCAACGACCACCCAGAGCCGGAAAGUUGGUCAAACUCGGUCAUUUAGAGGAAGUAAAAGUCGUAACAAGGUCUCCGUAGGUGAACCUGCGGAGGGAUCAUUA